CCAAAGUAAAAUGCGUAAGCGAAAAAAAAACUGACCACAAGACAGUGAUCUUUUGCCCAAGGCCUUCACUUUUUAUUAUUCAAGAGCCUUGUGCCUACCUUCCAUGGGUGUGUGGACGUCAGGCUUGUUGGCGAACACGAUGUCAACGUACUCCAGCUGUAGCCUCUCCAGGGAGCCCUUCAGACCUACAACAGGCCAGCGAUCAGCAGAUGCAGUAGAAGAUGAACCUAGCGACGACGAUGAGGCCGACAAUACAAGAAUGAACAUGGUAUCCAAUCAACGUGUGACCACAUGCAUCAACAACGUAAGGCAAUUCUGCAAGCAAAACACACGCAGAAGUUAGUUUUUCAAUGUUCUUGACUAAUAGGAGAAAUAUGUUACACGCGUAUAGUUUAGUACUGCUAAUGCCGGUGUUCAGAGAGACAUUGCUUCUCAUUUCAAAAAAUGUUAAUUUGUUUCCGUAAAUGUAUUCAUGUACUUACAUGUAUGAUAAUUUGUGCUUUUGGUUAUAUUUUAUA